GAGCAUCCUGUGAUCACACUUUCAAUCCGCCCUAAAUUCGCUCUUAUCGCGUAUUCCCCACACAUUUUAUGCCCUGCAAAUAUCCGCUUUUUGCGUAAACUGCAAGAAAAGGAAAGUUUUGUCGGAGUGGGGGGAAAACAACGACGGUAAGUUUAUAUUUUCCUAUGUAUUAUCCAUGUUUUAUUUAGUAUGUUCAUAAGGAGCAAACUGCAAAAAGUUGCUAUUUUCAGUCAGUUUCGUUGCGCCCUGAAUACAUGGUUUAAUAUUUAUUUUAUUUUAUUUAAGUCAUUACAACACGUCAAUAUUGCCGUUAAACACGUUUUGUUAACAUUUUUAGUAUGAAUACAGUUAUCGCGAGAUUUUCACGCGAAUUGAAAACGAGAUCUCCUCUUUCUCUGCAGGAUACCUUUUUUUAUUUACGUUUUCUGUUUCCGGUGUGCGGUAUUUUCAAAUGCACUUUGAAAAAAUGAUGCAGUUCAGUUGUCAAAAACGUUGUGAACAUGUGUGGAAAAGGCUGUGGGAAGAGUGGAGACGCAGAAGCACUAAAAUAUAGGUGUUCAGCAUGUGCUUUGUGAAGUUAAUGUUUCAGUGAAUGCUAUUAUUCAACUGCCUCCGGCCUCGACGUAUGUGAGUGUGUGCAAAUGUUUUGCUAAAGAUGAAGUGCCACGCACAAGUCUCAUCCAUUUAUUGAAAAACGUGUCGGCCAGCGACAGACAGGAAGCAGGAGCUGUGGCACAUUAGGUGAGAAUGAUGCUAUUUUUGUCACUUUUCUGAGUGAGCAGCAUCGAAUCCCAAAAACCUGUGAGCAACCAGUCCACACUAGUGUCGACAAACAACCUCCCUUCAUCCUGUAUCUAUGCUAAGCCAUGAUAAUUCGUUUUCAAGUGUGCACUUUUCCUGUCUGCCCAUUAUAUUCCUGCACAACAGUCAGGAGUCAAACAAACACGAUUAUUGGAUUGUGUCUUGUUGGUGUUACUCACCGCGUGUCUGUUGGUUGAACCUGACAGACAGGGCUUUGUUGUUAAUCCUCCUCUCAGGGUGCAAACGUUGGUUUUCUCUUCACCCAAGUGUCGUGUUCACGCCCCCGCGCUUGUCAUGCUCCGAUCCCGCGCCGUGCUCACGGCCAGGGAGGGAAAACCUCGAUUCUGGAGGCUUUGAUCUUUCCAGAAUAUUAUUUCAUGGAUUAGAUAUCGAGGCCUGAAUGAUGCAUUUUGUACCUGCAACACAAUUCGUUCUCAGUCGUGACAAGCUCACUAUUCUCAAACACCUCGCCGUGGAAACCAGACCAGUAUGAAAGAUAAUCCCGAGGGAAUGUCCUCGAUAAAAUAUAGCUUCAAAAACAGCCUCCCCACGUUCAUGCCGUGCAUCUGUGAGCCACUUAUCAUCUCGCUGACUCAACAAUCUUAACCUUAAACCGCUGACCGAAUGUCAGAUGCCACACUACACCGGCUGUGUACCCCGAGUUCUCCUGGCUGUAAAUAGCUCCUGACCUACAUUUGUUUGACCAAGUUAUCAGUAAACUCAGACUGUCAACAGUGUGAGACCUGCCUGUUUAUUUCUUCAUUAAAGGCAAGGCGGAUGUUUACUUGAGUUGAAUAAACCUGCGGGAUGUGAGCUGAAGAUGUUCAAGUCCCUGAAUACCCUGCAACAAUUGAAGCCCUGGUACCAUGGAGUUGGCAGUUUUGGUGGCUCUGAGUUCUUGUCUGGCUCCGGCACUGGGCUCUGCGUUUGGCAGGGAGAUGUUCGUUUCUGCGGCAGACGACGACUCCGACAGAGACUUCACUUACGAUUACGAGUCUCUGAGAAUCGGCGGCCUGGUGUUCGCCGUGACUCUCUUCGUCCUGGGCAUCGCUCUUGUCGUCAGCCGAAAAUGCUCCUGUCCCAAAAGCGACAAGUCCAGGUCAAAAGGUCCAGAUUUGGAGUCAGCAGCUGCCAGGGCUUGAACCCGGCGUUUUCCAGUGCCUCAUAGUGACCACUAGAGGCCCCCGAGGAGCCUCUAAACGCACGCGGCGCAGUUCUGUCCAGCAGCGUCGCAUUUCUGCUCUGCUGCAGCCGAGAAACCAACUCUUCUAGCUCCAUCUGGGUUGAGAAAUCUCAGCACCGCGGCCAUGGACAACACAGAAGUCAAGUUUCCAGACCAGAGCGCGUUCGAGUACGGUGAGGUCCACACCCGUCCGGAGAGGCGUCUUCAUUCCGCUCCUUCUCGGCGGUUCCAGUGUUGCCGGACACUUUCAACCCUGAGCCGUUUCACAUUCUAAAUUGGCGAUUGUCAUUCCAGAUCAGUGUAACGGAGCAACAUGCCUAACUAGUUUUACUGCUCGAACCAAAGUUAUAUCUAUCAAUAAACCAGACCACGGUCCUUCGGUGGUUGCAUUUCAUUAUUUUUUAGAUCUGAUUUUAUUGUCAGGAUGUGUGUAAUUUGACUGUUAAUUUUUGUUUUAUUUUUUUGUUGUUUUCUAUUUUUUUUAUUAAAUAACGCAGUUAAAUGUUCAAUCCAAGUUAUUUUUCAUUUAUAAAAACUUUUACCCAUGAAAUGUAAAUACAAAAAUUCAAAAUCCAGAUCAAUUUCACGUAGAUAAAAAUGAUUUGAACACAUCCGUAUCCACCUACAGACGUUUUGUGAUUUUUUUUAAAAAUUGAUUUGGAUCUACUCAGCAUUCAAGACAUUAGGAAUCCAAAAUAUUUCAACCCCAAAUUUCAUUAUUUUGGAAAUAAUUUAGAAUCAAAGUUGAAGUGAUUUAAUUCGAUUCGAUGACGUUACGCGUCAGUCAAAAGUCAAAACUUUCCCAGCGCGUCAUUGAGGUGCUGUGAGAGCAGUGGGACAGCAGGUGGCAGUAGUGAGUGAAGAAGCGCUCGCUGCUGCACUUCUGUCACCGCAAAGAAGAGUCCGCGUGGCGGAUCACUGAAAACUGAUUUUAAAAUCGCAGCCAUUCAUAAAGCAUCAAGAUAUUUUCCCACGUUUUCCUUGAUAUAAAUAAACAACCUGGAUUAUUGUGCUGCAGAGCUUCAAAACAAAGUGGAAAUAAGGUUUAAAAUAAAGCGGGAGGAGGGUGGGGACAGGAGAAUCCAGCAGUGAGGAAUGGGACGCCAU